GCCAGUUUGGCUCAGUGGAUAGAGCAUUGGCCUGCGGACCCAAGAAUCCUGGGUUCGAUUCCGGUCAAGGGCA
rfam:Myotis lucifugus cont2.2328, whole genome shotgun sequence.